rnacentral:rRNA from 1 species
UAACGCUGGCGGCGUGCCUAAUACAUGCAAGUCGAACGCGCGGAUCAGGAGCUUGCUCCUGUGACGCGAGUGGCGGACGGGUGAGUAACACGUAGGCAACCUGCCCAUCAGACCGGGAUAACCACGGGAAACCGUGGCUAAUACCGGAUAACCCUUUCCCACACAAGUGGGAAAGUUGAAAGGCGGCUUCGGCUGUCACUGAUGGAUGGGCCUGCGGCGCAUUAGCUAGUUGGUGGGGUAACGGCCCACCAAGGCGACGAUGCGUAGCCGACCUGAGAGGGUGAUCGGCCACACUGGGACUGAGACACGGCCCAGACUCCUACGGGAGGCAGCAGUAGGGAAUCUUCCGCAAUGGACGAAAGUCUGACGGAGCAACGCCGCGUGAGUGAAGAAGGGUUUCGGCUCGUAAAACUCUGUUGUCAGGGAAGAACGCCGACGGGAGUAACUGCCCGUCGGGUGACGGUACCUGACCAGAAAGCCACGGCUAACUACGUGCCAGCAGCCGCGGUAAUACGUANGUGGCAAGCGUUAUCCGGAAUUAUUGGGCGUAAAGCGCGCGUANGCGGUUCGUUAAGUCUGAUGUGAAAGCCCCCGGCUCAACCGGGGAGGGUCAUUGGAAACUGGCGGACUUGA